CUUUUAAACAUCUAUGGUAAUAUUUUUAAUUGUAAAGCAAAUAUAUGUUGCAUUGUUGGGAUCUUUUCUUUAAAUAUGAAGUGUUUACCUAUGUGUGACCAAUACCUUUGCUCUACUUAAAAACUUUUUGGCUUCUGUGCAUGUAAAUUGCAACAUUAGUGACACAUGCCUAGUCUGCCUAGGUUGGUACUCAUAUGUAGAAUACUAUUUCGUGGGACUUUCAUAUAAACAGAGAGCAAGUGAGCAAUUCUAAAAAAAACAGAUUAAAUUCUUAAUGGGGUGUCAGUAGGCAAUAAAGUCUAGAAAUAAAUAAAUACAAUAAAAACUCUUCAUGUUCCAAUUUCUUAGCAUGCAAAUGCUCCCUUUAUUUGACUAAAACAAUUCAGCCUUACUUGUCAACAGAUUCAACAUCUAUUUUGGUUGUCAGAUGUUGUAUUCAGGUCAGCUCAUGCAAUAAACAAUUUAUUACUCAAUAAAACCUUGAGUAAACCUGAGAAUAAAUCUAAAAAUAACCACAGUGUUGCACCUAAUAUAGAUUCAAUACACAGAGUCACUAUAUAUAAGGACUUGCAUGGCUUUUUUCACCUGUGACAUGAUGGCAUUGGGUGUCCUAAGGUCACUUGAUAUUCUGCCCCUGAAUUCUCGUGAAUAAUCAUUGUAGUGGUAACACAAACUGCUAAUUCCAUGGCUCGCAUUGAUAAAGCAUGAGGUAAUGAGAACUGCGCUUUGGCGGUUGAAAGAUCCCCCUACCUGCCCCCCAAACGGUCUAAAUUCUGCUUAGGAUUGUCAAGACUGUGUUAGGGAUCUCAUGCAAGGGUCAAAGGUCUAUUUGCUCGGUGGGUGUCAUCUAAACAGCCCAUGCCCACUUCGGCCCAUAACAGUACAGCAAGGGACCACGAUGGGGUCAACCAUCUAACACGUGGGCCUAGUCGGGCCAUAAAUCUUGUGAAUCUGGUAUGUAAACAACUCUAAUUGCUUGCCACCUGUGAAGUUUGUUUUACAGAAUGCCAGAGAAUGAAACAGUAUGCUCAUCAACAGGUGCCAAGGAACAUCUCCAGAAUAAGCGGCCGGUGGGUUGCAUAUUCACUCAUGUCAUCAGACUGCCUGUUCCCUGUCGUCAUACCCCAUUUUUUCUCCGGUCAGAAGCCAUAGGCAUGCUCAUACCUUGGAGAGAAACCCUAACCACACCAUGAGGAAAGAUCUAUGGGUCAGACCUGUUUAGUGUCCAUAAAACUAGGACAGGACCCUCCGCCUCCCCGGGUGCCCCUUUGGACACCUGUGACUGGAACAGGUUCUUUGGCUCACCACCUGAUGAAGGAAUUCAAGUUGGUGAGGGGUGAAUUAUUGGUCGUGUAGAGGUUUUGUCACGCGCAUGCUUCAUCGUGGGAAAGGAUGACAUCAUCACCUAUAGCCUAAUGAAAGCGGCUCAUCAAUGGGCAGAGUGCUAUAAAAGCAACUCAGAGACACCAACUCUUAUGUGAACUGAUUUACCAACACCUGCAAGUGCAAUACCUCUCCCGUUAUUCAAUAUCA